ACUCCUACGGGAGGCAGCAGUGGGGAAUAUUGCACAAUGGGCGCAAGCCUGAUGCAGCCAUGCCGCGUGUGUGAAGAAGGCCUUCGGGUUGUAAAGCACUUUCAGUCGUGAGGAAGGUAGUGUAGUUAAUAGCUGCAUUAUUUGAGUUAGCGACAGAAGAAGCACCGGCUAACUCGUGCCAGCAGCCGCGGUAAUACGGAGGGUGCGAGCGUUAAUCGGAAUUACUGGGCGUAAAGCGCAUGCAGGUGGUUUGUAAGUCAGAUGUGAAAAGCCCGGGGCUCAACCUCGGAAUUGCAUUUGAAACUGGCAGACUAGAUACUGUAGAGGGGGGUAGAAUUUCAGGUGUAGCGGUGAAAAUGCGUAGAGAUCUGAAGGAAUACGGUGGCAAGGCGGCCCCCUGGACAGAUACUGACAUCAGAUGCAAAGCGUGGGGAGCAAACAGGA
rnacentral:rRNA from 1 species